AGGGUGCGAGACGUUAAGUACGGUAAUUACGUGGGACGUAAAGCGCAUGCAGGCGGCCUAGUUAAGUCAGAUGUAGAAACGGCCCGGGGACCUUAACCGUACGGUAAGUUGCUAUUUAGUAAACGUGGCGAGGCUAGAGUCUUGUAGAGGGGGUAGGAAUUUCAGGUGUAGCGGUGAAAUGCGUAGAGAUCUGAAGGAAUACCAGUGGCGAAGGCGGCCCCCUGGACAAAGACUGACGCUCAGAUGCGAAAGCGUGGGGAGCAAACAGGAUUAGAUAACCCUGGUAG
rnacentral:rRNA from 1 species